rnacentral:rRNA from 1 species
CGCGGCCUAUCAGCUUGUUGGUGGGGUGAUGGCCUACCAAGGCGACGACGGGUAGCCGGCCUGAGAGGGCGACCGGCCACACUGGGACUGAGACACGGCCCAGACUCCUACGGGAGGCAGCAGUGGGGAAUAUUGCACAAUGGGCGGAAGCCUGAUGCAGCGACGCCGCGUGAGGGAUGACGGCCUUCGGGUUGUAAACCUCUUUCAGCAGGGACGAAGCGUGAGUGACGGUACCUGCAGAAGAAGCGCCGGCCAACUACGUGCCAGCAGCCGCGGUAAGACGUAGGGCGCGAGCGUUGUCCGGAUUUAUUGGGCGUAAAGAGCUCGUAGGCGGCUUGUCGCGUCGUCCGUGAAAACUUGGGGCUCAACUCCAAGCUUGCGGUCGAUACGGGCAGGCUAGAGUUCGGUAGGGGAGACUGGAAUUCCUGGUGUAGCGGUGAAAUGCGCAGAUAUCAGGAGGAACACCGGUGGCGAAGGCGGGUCUCUGGGCCGAUACUGACGCUGAGGAGCGAAAGCGUGGGGAGCGAACAGGAUUAGAUACCCUGGUAGUCCACGCUGUAAACGUUGGGCGCUAGGUGUGGGGGGCCUCUCCGGUUCUCUGUGCCGCAGCUAACGCAUUAAGCGCCCCGCCUGGGAGUACG